rnacentral:rRNA from 1 species
UAGGGAAUCUUCGGCAAUGGACGGAAGUCUGACCGAGCAACGCCGCGUGAGUGAAGAAGGUUUUCGGAUCGUAAAGCUCUGUUGUAAGAGAAGAACGAGUGUGAGAGUGGAAAGUUCACACUGUGACGGUAUCUUACCAGAAAGGGACGGCUAACUACGUGCCAGCAGCCGCGGUAAUACGUAGGUCCCGAGCGUUAUCCGGAUUUAUUGGGCGUAAAGCGAGCGCAGGCGGUUAGAUAAGUCUGAAGUUAAAGGCUGUGGCUUAACCAUAGUACGCUUUGGAAACUGUUUAACUUGGGUGCAGAAGGGGAGAGUGGAAUUCCAUGUGUAGCGGUGAAAUGCGUAGAUAUAUGGAGGAACACCGGUGGCGAAAGCGGCUCUCUGGUCUGUAACUGACGCUGAGGCUCGAAAGCGUGGGGAGCAAACAGGAUUAGAUACCCUGGUAGUCCACGCCGUAAACGAUGAGUGCUAGGUGUUGGGUCCUUUCCGGGACUCAGUGCCGCAGCUAACGCAUUAAGCACUCCGCCUGGGGAGUACGACCGCAAGGUUG